GAUAAACAUUUGGCAGGAGCAUUGUGAGGGACCGGUCUUAGAGAACACUUAGGCAAGGUAGGCAUGUUCUACAAAUGAGGUAGGCGUGGGAUAGGCAUAUAAGGCUUGAACUAGGCAUGAAGGUGGUCUAGAGGAAGAAGCCUACCUAGU
ensembl:ncRNA F07A11.11 ncRNA